rnacentral:rRNA from 1 species
UACGAAGGGUGCUAGCGUUGUUCGGAAUCACUGGGCGUAAAGCGCGCGUAGGCGGCCUGUCAAGUCAGGGGUGAAAUCCUUGGGCUCAACCCAAGAAUUGCCUUUGAAACUGGCAGGCUAGAGACUCGGAGGGGAUAGCGGAAUUUCUAAUGUAGCGGUGAAAUGCGUAGAUAUUAGAAGGAACACCGGUGGCGAAGGCGGCUAUCUGGACGAGUACUGACGCUGAGGCGCGAAAGCGUGGGGAUCAAACAGG